CCAGGCACCACCGUCUAGUGACAACUGCCCCCCCAGUCAGUUGGCUGAAAACAGUCAGCAGCAAACAUGCUGUGCUGCUUUCCCAGGCCUCCUGGUUGCAGCCUCAGGUCCCCUCGCAGGGAAACCACUUGGCAAUGAGUGAGAGGAUGGUUCACUUGGCCCAGAAGCUUCAGGACCCUCGCCAGGAACCGUCCAACAGUCAUGGGCAGCACAGGGCAGGUCUCACCAGACCCAGCCCCUAGAUGCCCAGAGACAAGAGAGAGCCCAGGACAAGUGUCCCUAGGUUCAGCCACCAGACACUUGGAGCCACUGAUAUCUGGACAGGGCUACAGAACGUUCAUCACAUUCCAGGGCAAUCUCUGAAGAUAAACAUCCAAUUUAGGUAAGGACGCGGUUCCUCAUAACAUAGUCUCCAUGAAAUGGAGGGUAAGAUUCAAAAUGGAGUCUCCUUAGCUACCACCGCUCCCCACACAGCACCUCCUCCAAAGCUGGGUAAACAGAGGGCCCAUGGUCCUGGUCCCAAAAGAGUCUGGGGUCUCUUCUUCUCAACCUCAACAUUCUUUCCGCUCAGCCACACACUUGGCCAGGUGCACUGUCACUGUCUUCACGUUGGUGGGAGCAUCACAAUAGGAACAUGGACACUAAGUCACCUCACUUCCUGACACGAUUUCAUUCUGGCAUUUCACCUCAUUGUAAAUCCUGGGUCCAGGAGCCCAUGUGGCACUGUCCCGACUGUCCUGUCACCCUGUCUCCAGCUCUUACACAUCAUGACAUCUGCAGAGGCAAGCUCACCCAAAACAUCAGGCCCGUGCUACUCUGUCAUUUCUCUGGCACUUGCUGUCUCACAGAACUUAUACAGGCUCUGCAGGUCACAGGAUGGGGUCCCCAUUGGCUAAAUGACAUUGUAUAAGGGAGACAGUGAACACAGCCACUCCGCCUUACUAGGUAAGAAAACCAGACCUGAUUCUUUCAUGGGGGCCUUUCAUCAGAAACCUGGGGAACAUUCUGUGUGACCUCAUAAAGGACUGGGCCACCUAGGAUGGGACUCUGUUUUCUCACCUCUACAAGGGGAAGUUGUCUCAGGACACAUGGGCUGUUGUUCUUCAUGCAUGGAGUUAUAUACAUCCUGUACGCAGCUAAUAAGCUGGUUACAUAAUGCUAGUAUUUGUAGGUUUCCUUCUGAAAUUCAACUUUUAGUAUAAGAAUCCCUUUUCUGCUGGGCCCUUCAUGUGCCCCCUCUGUCAUGAGCCUAUAUGGACCAUUUGGAGUGUCAUUGUUGCUUUAGCCUCAAACUCUACUGGGAAUUAAUGGGGGAGGGGACACUAAUUCCAUGACACUCUACUGUCUCAUCACAGUUUGGAAAUCGGUCAACCAAGAGCUUGGCAGAGGUCUGCACAGUAAACACGGUGCAGGCAGGGAUUCCUCACACUCCAGUGGAGACCCUGGGGCAGGACUUCCAGGAUAACAAGAGCAGGUGCACCUUUUCUAUCUUUGACUCCUCAAUGGAGCUGAAAUCCCAGGUGCAGCCCCAGGAUGAGCGUCUCCAGGACCACUUGGUGCCUCCUGCGUUCUCUGAUGAAGAGCCCCAGGCUCCAGCCCACGCUGAUGUCCCACCUGCAGAGCUCGUGCCAACUGCAACUGCAGCUCCCUCACCAGUUCUGACCCCACAACAAGAGCCAGGACCUGAAACCCCUUCUCCACCAGCUGCAGAGCUGCAACUCCUGGUGGCUCCACAGCAAGUGCUAUCUCUUGAGCUCUACUUGGGGUCAACCCUUGACCCAUACCUGGAAUUCCUCUCCCUUAUAGAUUUAGUUAUUAUUAUAUUUAUUGUUACUCUUAUUUUCCAGAGACAGGUCAAUGACAGAAUUAUUUAAAAUAAAAUUU